GACGAACGCUGGCGGCGUGCCUAAUACAUGCAAGUCGAGCGAACAGACGAGGUACUUGUUCCUCUUAGGUUAGCGGCGAACGGGUGAGUAACACGUGGAUAACCUACCUUUAAGACGGGGAUAACUUCGGGAAACCAGUGCUAAUACCGCAUAAUAUCUUGAACCACAUGGUUCAAGAGUGAAAGACGGUAUUGCUGCACCUAAUGAAGGUAUCGCCUCGUAUUUACCAAGUGGUGAAGUAAAGGGCAUACCAAGCCAACGAUCCUUAGCCGACCGGAGAGGGUGAUCGCCAACACUGGAACUGAGACCGGGCCAAGACUCCUACGGGAGGCAGCAGAAGGGAUUCUUGCGCAAGGGGGGAAGGCCUGACGGGGCAACGCCGCGUGGUUAAGGAGGUUCUUCGGAUGGUAAACCUCUGUUAUAGGGGAAGACCAAAUGUGGAAGUAACUAUGCACGUCUUGACGGUACCUAAUCAGAAAGCCACGGCUAACUACGUG
rnacentral:rRNA from 1 species